rnacentral:rRNA from 1 species
GAUGAACGCUGGCGGCGUGCCUAACACAUGCAAGUCGAACGGAAAGGCCCUGCUUUUGUGUGGUUCUCGAGUGGCGAACGGGUGAGUAACACGUGUGUAACCUGCCCCUGACUUUGGGAUAACAUCUGGAAACUGGGGCUAAUACCGGAGAGGAGCUUCUGCUGCAUGGUGGGGGUUGGAAAGUUUCGGCGGUUGGGGAUAGACUCGCGGCUUAUGAGCUUGUUGGUGGGGUAGUGCCGUACCAAGGCUUAGACGGAUAGCCGGCCUGGGAGGGUGACCAGGGUCAUGAGGACUGAGGGAGGGCGCAGACGGGAACGGGAGGCAGCGGGGGGGAAUAUGACGCAGUGGGGGGGAGUGUGAUGCGGAGGCGCCGGGUGCGGAAAGAAGGCCUUCGGGUGGUAAACCGAUUUCGCCUGAGACGAAGCGUGAGUGACGGUAAUGGGUAAAGAAGCACCGGCUAACUACGUG